rnacentral:lncRNA from 1 species
ACAUGGAUGCUAAAGUGCACAUGCUUCUAUAUUUGAUAAUGCACAACCAGCCGAAAAGCAUGGAUGACAGGUUGGCGUCUCGUCUGCAUUUGUAUUGUUGUUUUCUCUGUACAUUGUUUAUGUCCAUGUGAAUCAGCCGAUGUUGUUGUCUAUUGCAGUGACGGUUCCAGUCUGUGAUGAGCUCCUAAAUAAUCCUAGAUGUGGUGUGAGCACAGCAUGCUGAACGACAUUAGUUGGUUGGAAGCCCAUCUGUGUGAUGAAAUUUAUAAUCUUUCUUCGCUAUUCAAGAAAAAUGCCUCUGGAGACAGUUGUGAUGUUUAGUUAAAGUAGCUCAGUGUUACUUAGGGGCUGUUUGGAUCUUUAGUCCCGACUAAAAUUUAUGUCACCUCGAAUAUUCGAAGGCUAAUUAGAAUGACUAAAUAUGAGCUAAUUAUAAAACUAAUUAUCACAGAUGGAGGCUAAUUCCCGAGACGAAUCUAUUAAGCCUAAUUAAUUCAUCAUUAGCAUAUGUUUAUUGUAGCACCACAUUGUCAAAUCAUGAACUAAUUAGGCUUAAUAGAUUCAUCUCGUAAAUUAGCCUCCAUCUGUGUAAUUAGUUUUAUAAUUAGUUUAUAUUUA